UACGUAGGGUGCGAGCGUUAAUCGGAAUUACUGGGCGUAAAGCGUGCGCAGGCGGUGAUGUAAGACAGGUGUGAAAUCCCCGGGCUUAACCUGGGAACUGCAUUUGUGACUGCAUCGCUGGAGUGCGGCAGAGGGGGAUGGAAUUCCGCGUGUAGCAGUGAAAUGCGUAGAUAUGUGGAGGAACACCGAUGGCGAAGGCAGCCCCCUGGGAUAACACUGACGCUCAUGCACGAAAGCGUGGGGAGCAAACAGG
rnacentral:rRNA from 1 species